rnacentral:rRNA from 1 species
GACGAACCGUGCAAACGUUGUUCGGAAUCACUGGGCUUAAAGGGCGCGUAGGCGGGUUCCCAAGUCGGUGGUGAAAUCUUUCGGCCCAACCGGAAAAGUGCCGCCGAUACUGGGAGUCUCGAGGGAGGUAGGGGUCGAUGGAACUUCCGGUGGAGCGGUGAAAUGCGUAGAGAUGUGGAGGAACACCUGUGGCGAAGGCGCCUUGCUGGCCGAUUUCUGACGCUGAGACGCGAAAGCGUGGGGAGCAAACAGG